AGAUGUGAAGUGCUGGCUGUCCCUGAGAUGAGAGUGCAGGCUACAGUGCUCCUCCUGGCUCCCACUCGUGUGGCUGGGGGCUGAGGGUUGCCUUCCUGUGCAGGUGAAAGAGCUGUGACAUUUUCCUCUAAGCUUGUUCGGAAAGCAUCAUACAGAGGGAGGAAGCCAGCCUGCAAAGCCACAGCUCAUCUCAGGCCUGACAGAGC
rnacentral:lncRNA from 1 species